AUUCCUGAUUGCCCGCUGUGGGUACUGUGGGAGCACGCUGCCUUCGCCAUUUUGGGUGUAGUGCCUCCUUUUGUUGCAGGCCCUUGUGUCGCUUCAGCAUUCCUGCCAGGUCACACCAGGGUCUCACGAGGGUAGACCGGGAUAACCCCCACCGGUCCAGAGGGGGGGAACGAGGGUCUGGUCUCCGCUUGUCAGCCGUGGUU